AUGAAGCUAAUGAGAAAUCCGGAUAAAUCGGUUCAGCAGGUCGUUGAAGACAAUGAUGAUGAAGGAACAUUUGUAAUGCUGGAACCGGUUUUUCAGUUUUUACAGGUUUGGAUUGGAGUUAGCAUAAUCGAUAAAUCCAAGAUUAUGGAGAAUGAGGAUGGAAUCAAGGAAUGGCUUGAAGGGAAUUGGAGAUUGGUUCAAUCAUGA